rnacentral:rRNA from 1 species
GACGAACGCUGGCGGCGUGCUUAACACAUGCAAGUCGAACGGAAAGGCCCUGCUUUUGUGGGGUGCUCGAGUGGCGAACGGGUGAGUAACACGUGAGUAACCUGCCCUUGACUUUGGGAUAACUUCAGGAAACUGGGGCUAAUACCGGAUAGGAGCUCCUGCUGCAUGGUGGGGGUUGGAAAGUUUCGGCGGUUGGGGAUGGACUCGCGGCUUAUCAGCUUGUUGGUGGGGUAGUGGCUUACCAAGGCUUUGACGGGUAGCCGGCCUGAGAGGGUGACCGGCCACACUGGGACUGAGACACGGCCCAGACUCCUACGGGAGGCAGCAGCGGGGAAUAUUGCACAAUGGGCGGAAGCCUGAUGCAGCAACGCCGCGUGCGGGAUGACGGCCUUCGGGUUGUAAACCGCUUUCGCCUGUGACGAAGCGUGAGUGACGGUAAUGGGUAAAGAAGCACCGGCUAACUACGUG